CACAAGGCCCUUCUUAGGGCCAUCAUACAUUACGGUUUUGUGGGUGU
rfam:Operophtera brumata OBRT01_Sc01450, whole genome shotgun sequence.